GACGAACGCUGGCGGCGUGCUUAACACAUGCAAGUCGAACGGAAAGGCCUGCUUUCCCUUGUGGUUUGCGGGUACUCGAGUGGCGAACGGGUGAGUAACACGUGAGUGAUCUGCCCCCAACUUGGGUAUAAGCCUGGGAAACUGGGUCUAAUUCCCGAUAGGACUGCAGGGUGGUGCCUGUGGUGGAAAACGAUUUUCUAGUGGUUGGGGAUGAGCUCGCGGCCUAUCAGCUUGUUGGUGGGGUAAUGGCCUACCAAGGCGGCGACGGGUAGCCGGCCUGGGAGGGUGGACGGCCACAUUGGGACUGAGAUACGGCCCAGACUCCUACGGGAGGCAGCAGUGGGGAAUAUUGCACAAUGGGCGGAAGCCUGAUGCAGCGACGCCGCGUGGGGGAUGACGGCCUUCGGGUUGUAAACUCCUUUCGACCGCGAGGAAGCCACCUGGUUGGAAGGGUGGUGACGGUAGUGGUAGAAGAAGCACCGGCUAACUACGUG
rnacentral:rRNA from 1 species